rnacentral:lncRNA from 1 species
UUGAUCAGAGGGAUGGAGCUGCUCUGCUGUGAGGAAAGGCUGAGAGAAUUUGGAUUGCUCAUCCUUGAGAACUUUUGGGGUGACCUAACUGGGACCUUCCAGUACUUGAAGGGAGCUGACAAGAAAGAUGGAAGAGACUUUGGACAAGGGCCUGGAGGGACAGGACAAAGGAAUGGCUUCCCAGUGCCAGAGAGUAGAUCUAGAUUGGAUAUCAGGGGGUGUUUCAAAGUGGACGAUCUUUAAUGUCCCUUCCAGUCCAAGCCAUGUUCUGCAAUCUCUGGUGUUAGGAAAAAAUCACAUAAUUUUGUUUGUUGCAUACUCACAUUUCUUAAUUAGCCUUACAGAAUUUGCAAUCCAUGAGAUCAAUGGGAUUUUCCCAGAUACCUAAAAGACUCCACAUGACAAUAACCAAAAUAUGGAAAAGGGAAUCCAUGAAAUGUUCACAUUUUACAGUAAUUUGCCCUGCAGAAAAGAGGAAAACUCUGACCUACUUGAAGAAAGAGGGUUAUUAUAUUCAUUCUGCUAAUCCAGAAAAUACAAUUUGACAUGAACGCUGCAGGAAACAUCCAGCGUUACUCAGGAGCUGAUGUUUUGCCCCAUGGCAGCAGUGUUGAGUUCUUCAGUGGCAUGGGACAGUUCCUCACCUCAGGGCACAGGCUGGAGUUCACCCAAGCCAGGAGGCUGAAGGUGCAAGUUCAUCAUUACCUAAAACCAGGAGCUGGGAAACUUCUCAAAAUUCCAGCGUGGCACAUCCCCACUGGCCCUGCUGUUGCAGAGUUUGACAUUGCUGCCACCAGGAUUGACAACCUUGCUAAAUGGGUAAUUCCAUGGAUAAGAAAAGCUGUCAGUCCAAUUGCUACCCACAAACACCAUGGGAGGUGUUGGAUGUUGGGACAUCAUCACAGAACUAACCUCACCCUACUCUCAGUUUGUUGUGUCCGGUUCUUAAAGAUCCACAGAUACAAAAUUUGACAUCUUUGAAGGUUCCCAUUUUGCAAAGUUGAUGCAAUUUCAUAUAUUCUCUCUUUUUUUAAAUGACUGUUUAAGGCAUCUUUCUUUAAACAAUACCGGUUGUUUAUGAUCAAAGCUACUAUAAUAAAUCAGUAUGUGUAGAAAGGAGAGAAAUCUUU